AGCAAAUGGUGCCGGAUUGCCUCUUUGUCACUCAGGGAAGCCAUUUGAUCUUUGGACUCAGGAGAGAGAAAUGUUCCCAGAGAUACCUUCACCUGCUCGUUGUGGGAGGACACCUGGAAAGACACCUGCAGCAUAACAAGAUCUUUGUUACCACCAACAUGGGUCAGCCUCUUCCGCAGGAAAUAAAGAGUGAUUAAUGUUGUGUGGUAGAAGAGAAGAGAAGUCUGGAAUGUGGCCUUACCUCAGGAAUAUACUCAGUUUUAGGGAAACUGAUCCAGUGUCUGAUCUAAGGAUCACAUUUGAAGAGAAGCAGAAUGAGAGCUGGGCAAAGUUGGAAAAUGGAGCCACAGAAAUAUUGACCCAGUACCACCAGGCUGAGUGCUUCUUUCUAGUAUGUUCUUUAUACACCAGACCUCUGCCGAAUAAUGGAGUUCCAGAGCUGGAAGAGAUCCUCAGAUGUCAUGAAGUCAUCCACUGCCUCCCAGCAAGUUUCAUUUGGAUGGUCUGUUCAGAUUGUCUGUUCCCAGUUGUGGGCUGGGCAAGGAGCAUCCACAGGUUGGAGAAGCCUGUGUGUGCAGUUGCCUUUCUGAAGGCUCACCUCCUGCAGAGGUGUUGA
rnacentral:lncRNA from 1 species